rnacentral:lncRNA from 1 species
AAUCAAUAGAAUAUAAAUCAUAUGUCCCAGAAUGCAAGAAAUAGGGAUGCUGGUCUCAACUUUUUUCAUUUCAGAAGGUAGAAGAGUUUGAUAAAUUAUAUUUAGAUGUCUGGCUUGUGUCUGGUGUCAUUGAUCUCAGUGUUUUUAUCACCUGAUUUUGUCAGUUAUCAUGAGUAAAAGGACAAUUAUAUUUGGUAUUAAGUCUGCACAAGAGG